rnacentral:rRNA from 1 species
UACAGAGGUCCCAGGCGUUGUUCGGAUUCACUGGGCGUAAAGGGUGCGUAGGUGGUGAGGUAAGUCGGAUGUGAAAUCCCUGGGCUCAACCCAGGAACUGCAUUUGAAACUCCCUUUCUUGAGUGUCGGAGAGGAAAGCGGAAUUCCUGGUGUAGAGGUGAAAUUCGUAGAUAUCAGGAGGAACACCGGUGGCGAAGGCGGCAUCCUGGACCGGCAUUGACGCUGAGGCGCGAAAGCUAGGGUAGCAAACGGG